GGCCCAGCAUCGCAUACUGGUUAGAGUGCUGGACUAUGACUCUGGAGAUCAGGGUUCGAUUCUCCACUCGGCCA